GACUUUGUUAUUUAGCUGAAUGGCGGCUUCGAAAUCCAUUGGGGUUUCCCCGCACAGGUUCGAAUCCUGUCGACUUCU